rnacentral:sRNA from 2 species
UUCUGGCAUACUUUGAAGAUAAAUAUUUUGAUCUCUUAUAAAUAGUGUAGGUACCCUCACUUCCCUCCUUGCAAUUUACAUGUACUAUACGUGUACUGUACCAAGCUCUCUUCUUCAAGUUUAGACGUAAAGUUGAUGAGCUACGCAAGCAUUUGAACACCUUUGGAUUUCUUCAGAUUAUAAGGCAGCUUGAUGAAUUAUCGAGAAUACCCGGACAAUACCGUAUUUGCAAUGCGCUUUUGAGCUCAUUUCUACAUGGCUUCAAAUUUCAUCGCAUUCGGUUACAUGUCGCGUACGCCGUAGAUUUCGAACUUCUAACCAGUCUGAGCUGUGCCAACACCUUGCGACCCACCAGAUAGAUCAUCCGUUGCUUGAAGGUCAGAGGUUUCUUUAUCGAAAUCCAUAAAUACUGGGUCCUCGAAAAUACUCGCCUCUCUUUUUUUGCUCUGGCUGUUAUGCUAUAUUGCUCGUGAUGAGAUACGAUGGGUUUUCCUAAAAGAGAUUGUGUAGACAACCUUCAUUCUAUAUAAAAUGAAUCGAAUGAGGAAUGUCAGCCACAUGUGAUAUGAUAUCUUGCGGAUCGGAGGGUCUCACUG